AUACGUAGGUGGCAAGCGUUAUCCGGAAUUAUUGGGCGUAAAGAGGGAGCAGGCGGCAGCAAGGGUCUGUGGUGAAAGCCUGAAGCUUAACUUCAGUAAGCCAUAGAAACCAGGCAGCUAGAGUGCAGGAGAGGAUCGUGGAAUUCCAUGUGUAGCGGUGAAAUGCGUAGAUAUAUGGAGGAACACCAGUGGCGAAGGCGACGAUCGGGCCUGCAACUGACGCUCAGUCCCGAAAGCGUGGGGAGCAAAUAGGAUUAGAUACCCUAGUAGUCCACGCCGUAAACGAUGAGUACUAAGUGUUGGAUGUCAAAGUUCAGUGCUGCAGUUAACGCAAUAAGUACUCCGCCUGAGUAGUACGUUCGCAAGAAUGAAACUCAAAUGAAUUGGCGGGG
rnacentral:rRNA from 1 species